UGGGGAAUAUUGCACAAUGGGCGCAAGCCUGAUGCAGCCAUGCCGCGUGUAUGAAGAAGGCCUUCGGGUUGUAAAGUACUUUCAGUCGGGAGGAAGGUGGUAAGGUUAAUAACCUUAUCAAUUGACGUUACCGACAGAAGAAGCACCGGCUAACUCCGUGCCAGCAGCCGCGGUAAUACGGAGGGUGCAAGCGUUAAUCGGAAUUACUGGGCGUAAAGCGCACGCAGGCGGUUGAUUGAGUCAGAUGUGAAAUCCCCGGGCUUAACCCGGGAAUUGCAUCUGAUACUGGUCAGCUAGAGUCUUGUAGAGGGGGGUAGAAUUCCAUGUGUAGCGGUGAAAUGCGUAGAGAUAUGGAGGAAUACCGGUGGCGAAGGCGGCCCCCUGGACAAAGACUGACGCUCAGGUGCGAAAGCGUGGGGAGCAAACAGG
rnacentral:rRNA from 1 species